GACGAACGCUGGCGGCGUGCUUAACACAUGCAAGUCGAACGGGAAGGCCCUGCUUUUGUGGGGUGCUCGAGUGGCGAACGGGUGAGUAACACGUGAGUAACCUGCCCUUGACUUUGGGAUAACUUCAGGAAACUGGGGCUAAUACCGGAUAGGAGCUCCUGCUGCAUGGUGGGGGUUGGAAAGUUUCGGCGGUUGGGGAUGGACUCGCGGCUUAUCAGCUUGUUGGUGGGGUAGUGGCUUACCAAGGCUUUGACGGGUAGCCGGCCUGAGAGGGUGACCGGCCACAUUGGGACUGAGAUACGGCCCAGACUCCUACGGGAGGCAGCAGUGGGGAAUAUUGCACAAUGGGCGGAAGCCUGAUGCAGCAACGCCGCGUGCGGGAUGACGGCCUUCGGGUUGUAAACCGCUUUCGCCUGUGACGAAGCGUGAGUGACGGUAAUGGGUAAAGAAGCACCGGCUAACUACGUGCCAGCAGCCGCGGUGAUACGUAGGGUGCGAGCGUUGUCCGGAUUUAUUGGGCGUAAAGGGCUCGUAGGUGGUUGAUCGCGUCGGAAGUGUAAUCUUGGGGCUUAACCCUGAGCGUGCUUUCGAUACGGGUUGACUUGAGGAAGGUAGGGGAGAAUGGAAUUCUUGGUGGAGCGGUGGAAUGCGCAGAUAUCAGGAGGAACACCAGUGGCGAAGGCGGUUCUCUGGGCCUUUCCUGACGCUGAGGAGCGAAAGCGUGGGGAGCGAACAGGCUUAGAUACCCUGGUAGUCCACGCUGUAAACGGUGGGUACUAGGUGUGGGGUCCAUUCCACGGGUUCCGUGCCGUAGCUAACGCUUUAAGUACCCCGCCUGGGGAGUACGGCCGCAAGGCUAAAACUCAAAGGAAUUGACGGGGCCCCGCACAAGCGGCGGAGCAUGCGGAUUAAUUCGAUGCAACGCGUAGAACCUUACCUGGGUUUGACAUGGAUCGGGAGCGCUCAGAGAUGGGUGUGCCUCUUUUGGGGUCGGUUCACAGGUGGUGCAUGGCUGUCGUCAGCUCGUGUCGUGAGAUGUUGGGUUAAGUCCCGCAACGAGCGCAACCCUUGUUCACUGUUGCCAGCACGUUAUGGUGGGGACUCAGUGGAGACCGCCGGGGUCAACUCGGAGGAAGGUGGGGAUGACGUCAAGUCAUCAUGCCCCUUAUGUCCAGGGCUUCACGCAUGCUACAAUGGCUGGUACAGAGAGUGGCGAGCCUGUGAGGGUGAGCGAAUCUCGGAAAGCCGGUCUCAGUUCGGAUUGGGGUCUGCAACUCGACCUCAUGAAGUCGGAGUCGCUAGUAAUCGCAGAUCAGCAACGCUGCGGUGAAUACGUUCCCGGGGCU
rnacentral:rRNA from 1 species